rnacentral:rRNA from 1 species
UACGUAGGGUGCAAGCGUUGUCCGGAAUUAUUGGGCGUAAAGAGCUCGUAGGCGGUCUGUCGCGUCGGCUGUGAAAACCCAGGGCUCAACCCUGGGCCUGCAUUCGAUACGGGCAGGCUAGAGUUCGGUAGGGGAGAUCGGAAUUCCUGGUGUAGCGGUGAAAUGCGCAGAUAUCAGGAGGAACACCGGUGGCGAAGGCGGAUCUCUGGGCCGAUACUGACGCUGAGGAGCGAAAGCGUGGGGAGCGAACAGG